rnacentral:rRNA from 1 species
UUGAACGCUGGCGGCAUGCCUUACACAUGCAAGUCGAACGGCAGCUCGGGAGCAAUCCUGGUGGCGAGUGGCGAACGGGUGAGUAAUACAUCGGAACGUGCCCAAUCGUGGGGAUAACGCAGCGAAAGCUGUGCUAAUACCGCAUAAGAUCUACGGAUGAAAGCAGGGGAUCGCAAGACCUUGCGCGAAUGGAGCGGCCGAUGGCAGAUUAGGUAGUUGGUGAGGUAAAGGCUCACCAAGCCUUCGAUCUGUAGCUGGUCUGAGAGGACGACCAGCCACACUGGGACUGAGACACGGCCCAGACUCCUACGGGAGGCAGCAGUGGGGAAUUUUGGACAAUGGGCGAAAGCCUGAUCCAGCCAUGCCGCGUGCAGGAUGAAGGCCUUCGGGUUGUAAACUGCUUUUGUACGGAACGAAAAGUCUCUUUCUAAUAAAGAGGGAUCAUGACGGUACCGUAAGAAUAAGCACCGGCUAACUACGU